UGGAGCGGGGGGGCAGGAGGGGCUCAGGGAGAAAGUGUGUGCAUCCCCUGGCCCUCUCUGCCCUUCCGUCCCCUG
rnacentral:pre_miRNA from 1 species